rfam:Nosema ceranae BRL01 Nc001146, whole genome shotgun sequence.
GGUACCUUGGCCGAGGGGUCGAUGGCGUCAGAUUUCAGCUCUGAUACUUUAAUCAGUGCGUGCGGUUCGAAUCCCACAGGUACCA